rnacentral:rRNA from 1 species
GACGAACGCUGGCGGCGUGCCUAAUACAUGCAAGUCGAGCGAAGCGGCGGAUGGGUGAGUAACGCGUGGGUAACCUGCCCCUAAGUCUGGGAUACCAUUUGGAAACAGAUGCUAAUACCGGAUACUAAUGGGUGGACCUGCGAUGCAUUAGCUAGUUGGUAAGGUAACGGCUUACCAAGGCGAUGAUGCAUAGCCGGGUUGAGAGACUGAUCGGCCACAUUGGGACUGAGACACGGCCCAAACUCCUACGGGAGGCAGCAGUAGGGAAUCUUCCACAAUGGACGAAAGUCUGAUGGAGCAACGCCGCGUGAGUGAAGAAGGUUUUCGGAUCGUAAAGCUCUGUUGUUGGUGAAGCGGUAAUCAACCAGAAAGUCACGGCUAACUACGUGCCAGCAGCCGCGGUAAUUC